UUCAAUUUUUGAAGUUUCUUUAGCUUUUUUGUUGGGUGAAAUCAGUAUAAGGAGCUCUUUCUUCUUUAAAAAUUAGUAGGAACUAAAAAACUUCGAUUUAAGACCAGGAUUAGAUACCCUGUUAUUCUCAGUUAUUCUUAAACAGGGUAGUAAAAGUUGUUCUUCAAACCCAAAGAUUUUGGCGGCACUUUAUCCAAAUAGAGGAGCUUGUCCCUUAAUCGAUAGUCCUCGUUUUAUCUUUCCUUCAUUUGUAAAGCUUGUAUACCGCCGUUGUCAGAUUACUUUUAGAGAAUGUUUUCAAGUUAAAAGACUUUAUAACUUCAGGUCAAGGUGCAGUUUAUAUGGGGGCGGAGGUGAGCUACAGUUUCCUUUAGAAAAUACGGAUUCUAAGCUUUGAAGCUAGCUGAAGGUGGAUUUACUAGUAAAGUAAUUUAAGUAAA
rnacentral:rRNA from 1 species